rnacentral:rRNA from 1 species
GACGAACGCUGGCGGCGUGCUUAACACAUGCAAGUCGAACGGAAAGGCCCUGCUUUUGUGGGGUGCUCGAGUGGCGAACGGGUGAGUAACACGUGAGUAACCUGCCCUUGACUUUGGGAUAACUUCAGGAAACUGGGGCUAAUACCGGAUAGGAGCUCCUGCUGCAUGGUGGGGGUUGGAAAGUUUCGGCGGUUGGGGAUGGACUCGCGGCUUAUCAGCUUGUUGGUGGGGUAGUGGCUUACCAAGGCUUUGACGGGUAGCCGGCCUGAGAAGGUGACCGGGCACAUUGGGACUGAGAUACGGCCCAGACUGCUACGGGAGGCAGCAGUGGGGAAUAUUGCACAAUGGGCGGAAGCCUGAUGCAGCAACGCCGCGUGCGGGAUGACGGCCUUCGGGUUGUAAACCGCUUUCGCCUGUGACGAAGCGUGAGUGACGGUAAUGGGUAAAGAAGCACCGGCUAACUACGUG